AGAGUUUGAUCCUGGCUCAGGAUGGACGCUAGCGGCAGGCUUAACACAUGCAAGUCGAGGGGUAUAAUCAGCUUGCUAAUUAGAGACCGGCGCACGGGUGCGUAACGCGUAUGCAAUCUACCUUUUACAGCGGGAUAGCCCAGAGAAAUUUGGAUUAAUACCACAUAGUAUUAUGAAAUGGCAUCAUUUUAUAAUUAAAGAUUUAUCGGUAAAAGAUGAGCAUGCGUCCCAUUAGCUAGUUGGUAUGGUAACGGCAUACCAAGGCAACGAUGGGUAGGGGUCCUGAGAGGGAGAUCCCCCACACUGGUACUGAGACACGGACCAGACUCCUACGGGAGGCAGCAGUGAGGAAUAUUGGACAAUGGGCGCAAGCCUGAUCCAGCCAUGCCGCGUGCAGGAUUAAGGUCUUAUGGAUUGUAAACUGCUUUUAUACGAGAAGAAACGCUACUUCGUGAAGUAGUUUGACGGUAUCGUAAGAAUAAGGAUCGGCUAACUCCGUGCCAGCAGCCGCGGUAAUACGGAGGAUCCAAGCGUUAUCCGGAAUCAUUGGGUUUAAAGGGUCCGUAGGCGGUUUGGUAAGUCAGUGGUGAAAUCCCAUCGCUCAACGGUGGAACUGCCAUUGAUACUGCUAGACUUGAAUUAUUAGGAAGUAACUAGAAUAUGUAGUGUAGCG
rnacentral:rRNA from 1 species